GCCCCGCCGCACGCACACCGCCGCUGUGCGGUCCUCCGGGCCGCGUGUCGGAGCCGCGUGCUGAGCUCCGUUAGCUCGGGGUCGCGCCCGCCGCCCUCCGGGGCAGAACCUUCCCCUGACCCCCCGGCAGGGCUCCGCGCCGCUGUGCCCCGAGCUGUCAGCGAGGAGCUGCAGCCGCCGCUCCUCCGCGCCUCCGCCUCCCCUGCUCUGCGCCGGGCACCCCCGGGGCGCUCAGCCCCUUCCACAGCUCCGCAGCCCUCCUUCGGGCGCUCCCCGAUCCGUCACCCCCAUAACACGAAUGUCGCUGCCCGCAUCUCCUUCAGCCGGGAGAGGGAGCCCGGGAGCGGAGCCCGGAGCCGUUCUGCCUCUGUAGCGCCUGAGGUCGCGCUCUGAUUUAUUUCCCCUCCCAACUGCAGGCGGAACGCCAGGGGAAGGCAGAGCCGUGCCAGUCCUCUGCGCGGGGUGCUGCCAUUUGGGGCCACGCGUCGGUGCUUUGUGCGCGUUCCCGUAGGCAGCGGGAUGGGGAAUGUCCGCAGCUGCGGCGGAUGCCGGCGCCGUGCUGUGAUCAGCUGCUGGUCGCGCUGGGCUGAGGAGGGGCUUAAAAACACCAACUGGGGGGGAGUGCUGGAGUUGUGAGCCGGGGUUUGUGCUGUAGGGUGCAGAGUGGGGUGGAAUUAGUGUCCCAAAGAAAGAAGGGAGAUGGGCCGGUCCAAAUGGAGCUGGUUAAUUGCUGCUGUAGCGGGGAGUAGGUGUGGGUGGUGACGGGAUGGGUAGGGACAGGCUGGCAUAAGACAAAGAGAAUAAGGGAGGAAAGCAGAAAUGAGAACACCGUAGUGAAGGACUGAGAUGGAAUGGAACGUGGGGUCAGUCCCCAGCACAGCAGCUCUGGUCUGCGCUCUCCUCGUGUGGAAAGCAUUGAACUCGAAGAGAGCAGCGGGUGGUGAAUGGGAGGAAGGGGGGAUCUGAGUCCGGAGCCAAGGCUUGGGGGCGGUUCUUGACGUGCUGGCUGUGAUGCAACAGGAGCGGUGCUGAGAGCUUCUGUUAUUUGCUCUGGGUGCUGUGGUGUCCUGUGAUUAGAAACCAGUAAAUGCAAAACACGUCUAUAAGGAAGUAAGAGCUAAAAAAUGGAAGCAGGCAUCCAGGCAGCUCUUCCCUAGCUGGGCAGUCCUGUCCUUACCUGUGGCUGCAGGAGGCUGGAAGCACCGCACUGUGUGCAUGCACACCUCCCCAGCUGACAGGGGCUGCUCUGCGCUGAGCUCCUGCCUCAUCGGAUUUGCCACACUUUGCAGGAGCUUUGGCCAGCAGCUGUGCUGCCUGACCUUGGAGCCAUGCCUGGGCCCGUGGGGAUCCCAGCCUUCCUCUCUCCUAUUGCCUGGUUGGUGCCUUUCUCAGCUCUGCUGCUGGGUGCUCCUGCCCUGCCGUUGUGUGAUAAAUGGGUGGCUGUUGGUGUUGGUUGAUAUUUAAUGAAGUCCUUGUAGUGCUCUUCACUCAUUUACUUAUCCAAACAGUCUUAAUGCCCAGCCUGGGAAAGUUAUCUUGGCUUCUUUAAGCUUUUCCACCAUUAGCAAUAAACAUUUUACUGUCUUGGCAAGCUGAGGCCCAAAAGUGAGCAUGACUUCAAACAGCAUUACUAGCAGGGAAGGCUUUAAACUGAUAUUAAAUUUCUAAACUGAGCAAACAUAACAGUCUGGUAAUAAAGAUAAUCUGUGAGCAGUGUGGGCCAAGAGGGGCUCUGGUCCCUGGGGUGCAGGCACUGCCUGCUAUUGCAGCAGCACCCUCUGCAGAGCUCUGCCCCUGCUCUGCUCUGCUCUGCUUUGCCCACGCAUGUGGCAGGCCAGAAGUGCAUGCAAAGCAAUGGAAACAGGCAGCACUAUGCAAAUGCAUGCAAAUCUGUCACAUCUGGCAUGGGAGCAGCUGCAUGCAGGCGGACACCUCACGCCCAGCUGUCAUGGGAACACGUGGUGGUCAGGCACACAGUGUGACACGGGCACGCAGCCCUACCUGGGGCUUGAGAAGGCUGCUUUCUUCCUUGGCCUUGCUAGCUUUUAGACUAGCAGUGGUUUUGCAAAGCCUUGGUGAGGAAUGUGCUUGGUGGGGCCUCUGAGUGUUUUAAAUAUCGUGGGAUUUCUGUAGUUUAAUUUUUCUCUGAACUGAGCCAGCAUCUGCCUGAUCUUCUGUUGUGUUUCCCUGUGCCUUUGCUCACCGGAAGGACAGCAGCUGUCUCUGCACGAGGAUGUGUGCCUGGCAGGAUCAGUGCUUGUGGGGGCUGUGAGUGCUGCUCAAGGACCCGUGCUGCACAGCUGAUGUCCUGCAGCAGGGCCGGUCUCCGGCCUCAGAGCCGACAGCAGCCACAGCACAGCUGGCAUUGCUCCAAGUCCAAAGCCAGAGGAAACCUCGCCAUCACGGAAUCAUCGGGUUUGGAAAAGAGCGGAAUUUCUCACACACUUGAUCAGAGACUCUAUCUUGCAUUGAAAUUUCUUCGCAAGGUAGAAACUACCUCCACACACACUGGAAAGUUCCCAUCUCCCUGGUGAUACUCACACAUCUGCCCGUUGUGCAUCUGAGGAGGCAUUGUGUUGGCCACAAUGACGUUUGUUCCCAGGUUCUCCUGGAUCAGAUGAGGAUGCAAGGGGUGGUGAGCAUGUGGCGUUUCACUUGAUGAACCUAAAAACGUGCAUAUCACUUUUGUUGCCACAAUGGCAGAGACAGCUCAGGUGGGUAGAGACACGCUGUCAAGUUGAUCUUUCAGACCCUUUAGUUUUGCUGGCUCCCUUCUGACAGAGGAGGACUGGUGGAAUGGUUGGCUGGUAGGAGUUUGGGGGUUGCAAAGUAAAGCAGCUCUUUAGGGGAAUAGAAAUGGAGUAGUCUGUGUUAUCACUGCAGUUGACAGGGGGAGAUAUUUUCAUGCUAGUCAAGGUGCUGACCUGCUUAUGGGCUGAGUCUCCGCUGUUUUCAGGUGGAGAACAAUGGCUAUGUGGGAUUGUGGGGAUGGUGACUGGGGAGCACCAAGAGUCCUCUGCAGCACCCUCACAUACUCACCUCCCAGCAGCAUCUCCUGCAACAGGUUGUCAAUCUUAGCCAUGCCGAAGAGCUUGACAAACUGGAUCUGCUCUAUCAUCUGCCAGGUGAUGCUCUGCAGCACAGGCAGCAGCAGCAGCAGCUCCCCGAAGCGGCCCCGCGAGUCGUACUGCCUGUCAUUGAUGUAGUCCUCCAGGCUGACCUGCACCUGGUACCGCAUCCGCUUGAUCUUGGAGGGAUCGCUCAGUCCUUUGGCAUCUGAAACAACACACAGAGCAAAGCCAUGCAGGCUGCUCCCCUACUAACUGUCCUUCAGCAAUAGCAUGAGCUCUGGGCACAGGCUGAGGUGAGCUGUCUGUUACUCUGCUGUCUGCAGCAGCAGGUGCUUCUCCUCUCGGGCUUAUUUCACCCCUCCCUUUAAGAACAGUUUGGGCCUGAGAGGAGAUCAGGCAGCAUUUCCACAACUCCCAGCUGGUAUUAGUGGGCAUAACAGACCGUUCCUUGUGCUGGCGACCCUCGCCUGCUGCAAGCUGGCUCAUACCUGGGUCGAAGAAGAUGAUGGCUUUCAAGCAGGCAUAUUCAUUGUCGUCUAUCUGCAGCUCCUGGAAGGGGAGGACCAGCUCAUCCAGGAUGCGGAUGGCCACGCGGCUCACCUCUACCAGCUCGGGGCAGUUCCGAGGGACGAUGUGGUCGUUCCCUUUGGACAAGCAGCACAGAGACCAUCACCUUGGCAUUGCCCAGGCCUUCAUAAGGGUAGCAAGGAGUUCAAAAUCCAGGGGACUAAUGUUGAGGUAAUUUUACAAUGGAAGCCUUAAGAAGUUUAUGUUUCUGCCCCAUCCCUAGCAUGGCCCACCAGAAAUGCUGAUCUGAGUUGCCAGAGCGGCCUCUCGGGACUCACUCAAGCAAGAAGAAGCUGCUUGAGGAGCAAGAGCUGUUUUCUCAGCCAUACCACUGCCUGCUCGUGCUGACCUGAGGGAGUGAUGUGGAUGCUCACUGUCCCCCACGUUUGCCACAGCAGCAUGUCAUUGAUGUGAGUGUGAGCCAGGCCUAGCUACACCUAAAGCUUGUGCUUGGCUCCCUAAAACAGAGAAGGGCUCAAUCCACCACCCUGCGGAAAGGAUGCCUGCAGACACUGAGCCACCCACCCCUUUAGCCUGGCAGGGAAGCUUAGCAGAAGCAGUUGGUGGGGAGCAGAAGCGCACUCUUUACCUAGCAGCAAGACAUCCUUGAACACCAUGGACCUCUUGGCAACUCCCAGUAACAGAUGUUCACCUGCAUGUGCCCGCAGCAGUGCCACCUGUAAGAGUAGGGAUGUGUUACUUGGGUGAUGCAGAGACAGACACAAGGCUGAGCUGUGUUCAGUGGCCCAGGAUCGGAGGGCCAGGAAUGGUUCUUCCCCAGGUGCCUGUGUGAGAGGAGAUGAUAUUUUGCUUGCUCUUUAUCUCUGAGCAGUGCCCACGUCCUGCUGAAAUCCCACUCGUGGAGACCCACGUCUGCUGGCUGCUGGGGUCACCCUCUGGUCACCUGCUCCCUCUGCAGCAAUGGGCGUUUGGGCCAGGGAAGCCAAGGGGAUGUUUUUCUGCCCCGGCGUUAAUGAUUGAAGUGUUUCAUUUUACACCCUCCAUUGGCUCCUGAGAAUGUUCUGAAUCUUUUGCUCUCCUUCAGUUAAAAAUUUCAGAGAUUUAGGCAGAAACAGAAGUUAACAAUUGGACAGCCUGACACGGAGGCCUCUUAAUGUCCAGCCAGGAUCCUCUGCUGAAGAAAACAAUCAUUAAACAUUAAAGGAGAGGUUCUGAAAAGCGUGUCCUGUUGGGAAUGGUCCCCUUUCUCAGAGUAUUAUCUCUCAGCAUCUGACAAAGCCGAGCGAAGCCCUGCCCUGCCCAAAAUGUCACACGGAGAGCGUGUCAGAGGGGGAAGGAAGCACUGAUUAGAAAAGAUGCUGAUGUCUGAGAGAGGGCUUGUUUUUUUCAGGGGGUGUAAAAGAGUUGUGCAAAAUAAACAGAGUGAAGGUCCUUGCAAAAAGCCUAUGCACGCACGAUGCUGGGGAGCCUUUAUCUGUGUGCCAAAAUCUAGCCUGCCUCUAUCGCUAUCCAAACAUGGGUGGAUGUGUUCGCCGAGCUGCUUGUAAUUAGCAGAGCUGCUCAAAGCUGAGCUUCUCCGUCUGCCGAAAAUGUGAGCAGGUUGAAAGGACUGCGCUGCCCAAUGGGGCCUCGCGGAGAGCUCUCCUGCCUGCUACAAACUCAAGAAAAGCUCAGGACACGGAAACCCUGCUUUGUUUCCAUAGAACGUGUGGGUUUUUUUGUUUGAGCAGAGUUCGUGUCAUUUACUUCCAUGUGGCAAAACCCUCUGAAGUGGUAUUUGUUCUCUCGGUGAUCAGCCUGAGGCGCAUCGUCCCGUUCUCAGCCAGGGUAAACACAGAAGUUGUAACACAUCAAAGUGGAACCCCAACGAUAAAUAUAACAGUUGUAACACAACGGAGUCGAACUUUAACUUUGCAAUGGGAUGGCUUUGCCCCACCAAGCCCAGCGCUCCCACGUUUUGGUGCGGAGGAAAAAUGAGUUGGGUGGGACCUUUUGUGUGAAGGUGCUGGCAGAGAUGAUUCAUUCCCAGGCAGUAUUUCAGUGGCAAUGUACCAGCACUUCCCAGCGUUAAAUGUUCCCACCGGACAUGUCUUGACCAGCUGCCAUGCCCCUUGGGCAAUGGGCUUGUGUAUUUUUGCUCUCUCCUGCUCCCUGGCAUUUCCGUCCUCCCUGCGUUCUCUUAUUUGCUGUCUCUGUUCUCACACUGUGUCCCUCCAAAGCGUGGAUGUCAUUAAUUCCUUUUGAUGCAGCACGUCUUCCCUCCAAAGCCCUUUGGGAGCUGUCUGUUGUAGGAGAGCAGCUCAGGAUAACCAUAGCAGAAGACCUUCAGUGGUGGAGCUGAGUGCCUCCUCCCCUGUGGGAAGGGCUCGGAUGGCCUCUUUAGGUCUUGAUUUUACAAUGGUGGGGCUGCCAAACUUUUCUUCUGUUGAGAAGUCUGACAGCCCCGCGAUUGUAAAAUGAGCUCAUGUGGAAAUUGCUGUCGUUUGCAGAGCUGUUAACUGGGUUUACUGCCUGUGUUCCAAAGGCAGAAGGAUGCAGGUUAUGCAGCGCUGCCCUGGGCCUCUGCUAGGCUGCAGCCUCUUUGCUGUGCAAAUGUCACUGGCCAUUGGGCUCCAUUUUGUUUUUCAUCAUUCUUGAGUUGCAUUUGCUGUAGGAGUUUAGCAGACUGGCUAUUGCUUUGAACGAUGUAAUGCUUUCACAGAAUGGGGUUGGUGAGGGGGAAGGGAAGCAAGUGCUGUAAAAAGUCACUGAAUUCCCCGGAGCUGCUGGGUGAUCACUGAAGAUCUCAGCCCCAGGGCUUUGUGACCAGCUGGAUGCUCUCACUUUCUGUAACAGGACUGCAGACUGAUCCAGGCUGAGUUUUUGACUGCACAGUGGCUAAAUGGAAAUCCCUGAAUCCCUAUGUGGGACAUGAACCAUGCUGGCUGCCUCCAGAAGUGAUGUCCCUGCCCACCCCCUCACACGCCAGGGCACAGCCGUGUCCUGUAACAUCUGCUGCAGACCUCUGACGUUUGGGUUUGACAGGAAACACCUCCCUAUAUCUCUCUGAGGCUGCCUCAGGUCUUGCAGUGUUACUUUACAGAAGAAUUCAAGCCCACGGUGCUUACCCUGGUUAGGAAACUAGCAAAUGUCAUUUUGUCAUUUGUGUUAAACGCAGAUAUAUUCCUGCUUUUUAACUCAGAAGAGAUUUUCUUACUGCCUUGGGAGCAAAACAGUGUUUAGUUUCAAUAAUUCCACAGUAGGAGAACGGCUAGAAACGUAUCCCCUGGCAAGAAACAGAAAGAACGAUAGACAAAUAGUUUGAUUAAAGUGCUGAGCAGCCCUUGGGCGAGAA